rnacentral:rRNA from 1 species
AAUAUUGGACAAUGGGCGAAAGCCUGAUCCAGCCAUGCCGCGUGUGUGAAGAAGGUCUUCGGAUUGUAAAGCACUUUAAGUUGGGAGGAAGGGCAGUAAGUUAAUACCUUGCUGCUUUGACGUUACCGACAGAAUAAGCACCGGCUAACUUCGUGCCAGCAGCCGCGGGAAUACGAAGGGUGCAAGCGUUAAUCGGAAUUACUGGGCGUAAAGGGGGGGUAGGGUGGUUUGUUAAGUGGAAAGGGAAGCCCCGGGCUUAAACCGGGAACUUCUUUCAAAAACGGGAAGCCAGGAGAUGGGAGGAGGUUGUUGGAUUUCCUGGUGAGGCGGGAAAAGGGUAAGUAUUGGGAGGGACACCAGUGGGCGAAGCGACCCCCUUGGCUAAUAAUUACAAUGGGGUGCCAAAGCGUGGGGAGCAAAC